UCCGCCUAGUUCUUUCCUCACAGGACAUGGAUGCUAUGGUCACUGAGUGAUGCUGGCUUCAGCCCUCAGGGAUUGGUUACCUUAAAGUUUAGCAGGUCCUAAGUGAAGGACCAGCUGGCCUGGGGAGCCGUGGAGGUGGACAUGGGGACUCUGCCUUGCGGGGGGGAUGGUCAGGAGGUAGAUGGCCAUGGGAAAUGAUGUGGAACCAGAGUGUUUUAUAUAAAUGUUGGGGGUCAGCCCAUUGGGAGGGGUUUGGCUUCUUUUACAUUUGAUGCUCAGGUUGUGGUUUACUGUCACUUUGCAUCAGACUGGCAUUCAGGGGCUUGCCUGGUGGGCGCACGUGUGCAUGUGCUGUGCGUUCUGGGAUGACUGCAGGCUCACCAGGCUUCUGUCUAAUCACAGGUCUGCACCACAGGGCACCCAGCCCACCUUUUCCUCUGUGGAGGAUGAGCGGAGAGAGAAAUCUGUCCUUCACUGUAAUCGUUCUGUCUUGUUUCUAAUGACCGCGCCCAGCUGACCACAGCUGUGGUCUCAGCUGCUAGGGCUUUUCAGAAAGAGUCUGUUCCCUUUGGUCUGCACAGCAAGUGAGCCAGCAUUAGGGGAGUACUCCUUCCACUCAAAGCCCACAGGGGCCCAGAAAGGUUGCUGACCUGGAAACAAGAUCCUCUUCAGAGAGAAGGGUCUAGUGCCUGAUGGGACUGUGCCACCCUUCUCUUUACAGAGACUUGAAAUAAGCACGACCAGGGGGCACGGUUAUCUCUUUAAACCUUUGUCUUUUAUUAAUGUCUCAGUUUAGUAAUGGUAAAAGAUGAAAGAUGGGUUUAAAAUUUAUAAAAAUGGGAGAAAAAAAGUCUGCUCUGAGGAGUUGGUAUCUGUUUCUUUGCACAAACGAUGUUCACGUGGUUUUAGACCUUGUUCUUCUGAAGUGACUGGUUUCGAGUACAACUGGCAGGGCCUUUGAAAGCUAUCUGGCUGCCUGGUGGGUUCUGCCAAGAAUCUGACUUUGGACCUCAGAAUCCUCACUAGUAAAGUGAGAGGUCACGUGACAUACUGAGCAAGUUCUGUCCAACUUCUACAACUGGAAGAAAAUGCUUUUAUUCUGGAUAGUUCUUACCCUUACAGGAUGUAGUGCUGGUGUGAGGCCUGGCUCUGGAGCAUCUGUGCUGAUAGCCGGUGUUGUCAGGCAGCCCAGGGUGCUCUGUUCUGGAACCCGCUGCCUGGCUUUUCGACCUCCACACCAAGGGCCUUUCCACCGGAAAAGGCCACACCUUUUCUCCUAAAGGUGUUUACAAGUCCAGUAGGCCAGCACAUGGACUCUGAGAGAUGUCUUUUGAAAGGGCGGUAAUGCAGUUACAUUUUAACAGAGAGGUCCAAACUACAGAGCAGGUAGCUUGCUUCUGCAUCCAUCACCUAAAAUGCUCCAGGGUUUUUUGCUGGCACACACCUGGGGGAAUCAAAGUGCA